rnacentral:rRNA from 1 species
UACGGAGGGUGCAAGCGUUAUCCGGAUUCACUGGGUUUAAAGGGUGCGUAGGAGGGCGAAUAAGUCAGUGGUGAAAUCUUCGAGCUUAACUCGGAACUGCCGUUGAUACUAUUUGUCUUGAAUAUCGUGGAGGUGAGCGGAAUAUGUCAUGUAGCGGUGAAAUGCUUAGAUAUGACAUAGAACACCAAUUGCGAAGGCAGCUCGCUACACGAAUAUUGACUCUGAGGCACGAAAGCGUGGGGAUCAAACAGG